rnacentral:rRNA from 1 species
UACGUAGGGUGCGAGCGUUGUCCGGAAUUAUUGGGCGUAAAGAGCUUGUAGGCGGUUUGUCGCGUCUGCUGUGAAAAUCCGGGGCUCAACCCCGGACUUGCAGUGGGUACGGGCAGACUGGAGUGUGGUAGGGGAGACUGGAAUUCCUGGUGUAGCGGUGGAAUGCGUAGAUAUCAAGAGGAACACCAGUGGCGAAGGCGAGUCCCUGGACAAUACCUGACACUGAGGCACGAAAGCUAGGGGAGCAAACAGG